AAUCAACGCUGGCGGCGUGCCUCAGACAUGCAAGUCGAACGAUUAAAGCUCUCUUCGGAGAGUGUAUAGAGCGGCGCACGGGUGAGUAACACGUAAGUAAUCUACCUUCGAGUGGGGAAUAACGUCCGGAAACGGACGCUAAUACCGCAUAAUGCAGCGGCAUCGCAAGAUGACAGUUGUUAAAGAUUUAUCGCUUGAAGAGGAGCUUGCGGCAGAUUAGCUAGUUGGUAAGGUAACGGCUUACCAAGGCUACGAUCUGUAUCCGGUCUAAGAGGACGGUCGGACACACUGACACUGAAUAACGGGUCAGACUCCUACGGGAGGCAGCAGU
rnacentral:rRNA from 1 species